AAUAUUUGUGUAAUCAAUUUUCACCUUCACAUUAAUCUUAUUUUAUCAAUUUGUUGCAGGCUGGACGGGGAAAGAGGAAGAUGACAAGGACAUUAAUGUUUGGGAAGACAACUGGGAUGAUGACAACGUUGAAGACGAUUUCAAUCUUCAAUUAAGGAAUGAGCUUCAAAAACAGGGCAUCAAACCCGAUCAAUAAAAUAUGUAUUACAAAAUAAUAUAAGUUAAGAUUGAUUUAACCGAUAAUGUAAUUUUCUCAAUAAAUUUGAACUUUAAUUCAA